UACGUAGGGGGCAAGCGUUGUCCGGAAUCAUUGGGCGUAAAGAGCGUGUAGGCGGCCCGAUAAGUCCGCUGUGAAAGUCCAGGGCUCAACCCUGGGAUGCCGGUGGAUACUGUCGGGCUCGAGUCCGGAAGAGGCGAGUGGAAUUCCUGGUGUAGCGGUGGAAUGCGCAGAUAUCAGGAGGAACACCGAUGGCGAAGGCAGGUCUCUGGGCCACUACUGACGCUGAGAAGCGAAAGCAUGGGGAGCGAACAGG
rnacentral:rRNA from 1 species